rnacentral:rRNA from 14 species
GACUCCUACGGGAGGCAGCAGUAGGGAAUAUUGGUCAAUGGGCGAGAGCCUGAACCAGCCAUGCCGCGUGCAGGAUGACAGCCUUCUGGGUUGUAAACUGCUUUUGUCAGGGAAGAAAAAGACUAUGCGUAGUCAAUUGCCGGUACCUGAUGAAUAAGCACCGGCUAACUCCGUGCCAGCAGCCGCGGUAAUACGGAGG